UUAGCUCAGCUGGUUCAGAGCAUCUGCCUUACAAGCAGAGGGUCGGCGGUUCGAAUCCGUCAACGCC
rnacentral:tRNA from 1 species